GAUGAACGCUGGCGGCGUGCCUAAUACAUGCAAGUCGAGCGAACGGACGAGAAGCUUGCUUCUCUGAUGUUAGCGGCGGACGGGUGAGUAACACGUGGAUAACCUACCUAUAAGACUGGGAUAACUUCGGGAAACCGGAGCUAAUACCGGAUAAUAUUUUGAACCGCAUGGUUCAAAAGUGAAAGACGGUCUUGCUGUCACUUAUAGAUGGAUCCGCGCUGCAUUAGCUAGUUGGUAAGGUAACGGCUUACCAAGGCAACGAUGCAUAGCCGACCUGAGAGGGGUAGCGCCCCCACUAGAACGUGGACACGGCCCAGACUCCUACGGGGGCCACCAGUAGGGAGUCUUCCGCAAUGGGCGAAAGCCUGCCGGGGCAGCGCCGCGUGGGUUAUGAAGGACUUCGGGUCGUAAAACUCUGUUAUUGGGAAAAAACAUAUUUGUAAGUAACUGUGCACAUCUUGCCGGUACCUAAUCAGAAAGCCACGGCUAACUACGUG
rnacentral:rRNA from 1 species